AUCGAAUUAUAAAACUUUCCAUUCUUUAUACUCAAAACUCAUCCACUAAAAGCCAUAAAUUUUUUUCCAUCCAAACUAUUCAGUUUAUUUUCCUCCCAGAAGGAAGAAUUUUUUCCCCUUUCAAUUUUGGCGGCGCCACCACCACUCCCCAUUGGAUUUUGACACUGUUCAAGGUGGAUGCUAGUAGCCAAUGGUAGCCUUCAUCAUCUCCUUCAACCUUAUUGGUUUGGAUCUCGCCAAAGCAAAUAAAAAAGCCUUUGAAAAGGUAACUAAAGCCAAAAACUUUGCCUCUUCUGAUCUGCUUCGUCAGCCACUGUGGCGACCUCUGGUCGGAGAUCAAUGCUUCCGUUAGCCUUUUCUUGGCUACCACCGCUUAGUUUUUCUAUUUUUAUUUUUACAAAAUAGUAGAGAGAGAUGGUGCCGAAUGAUCCCAAACAAAGCAGUGGUUUCUUUGCGUCCAUAGCUAGCAGUAUAUCUAAUUUUGGUUGCGUCAUAACUAAAUCAAUCAACGGUUGAAUUUCAGACUAAAAGACCUGAUAAUGAGGCCUUCAGUUCAGAUGAUGAUGAAUGAGGCCUGUUGCAUAUUAUGUGUGUAUAUAUGUAUGUUAUAGUAGUUGAUGAAUGCAGUUGUCCUAGAAUUUUUUGAUAUCAUGGGAAACAGGUUGUAACAUGUUGGCAAUGCAUUCAUUAAAUACAAUUACCAAGUGAUGUAAUGAACAACAAGCUGACAACAUGUUGCCAACAUGUUAACUGCUUUGAUUAGGAUUUUUUAUAUAAACUAAUAAUUAAAUUAUUUAGUGGUAAUUUUGUAUUAAUAUGAUUUGUUUAUGUUAAUUAACUAUUCAAUUAA